rnacentral:rRNA from 1 species
UACGCAGGGGACAAGCGUUAUCGGGAAUUACUGGGCGUAAAGCGCACGCAGGCGGCAGCUUAAGACUGACGUGAAAUCUCCUGGCUUAACUGGGAGAGGUCGUUGGAAACUGGGCAGCUUGAGGUGGUGAGAGGGGUGCAGAAUUCCCGGUGUAGUGGUGGAAUGCGUAGAUAUCGGGAGGAAUACCAGUGGCGAAAGCGGCGCCCUGGCACUGACCUGCCGCUCAUGUGCGAAAGCGUGGGGAGCAAACGGG